rnacentral:lncRNA from 1 species
AAAUAGAAACCCUAUGAAGGGCAGAAUGUUUAAGCCACAAAAAGGGCGUACAAAAUAAUUACAAAAAGCCACAAAGGGCAUGAUAAGUUCAUUACAGCAACAAAGAAAACCAUUCACGGAGGAGGGAUAUAAGGGACGAGCUUCCCAUCCACGAUCCGGUUCAUCGCAUCAGCCUCGCCUAGACCCUCAGCAUCCAAAUCC